rnacentral:rRNA from 1 species
UACAGAGGUGGCAAGCGUUGUUCGGAAUUACUGGGCGUAAAGGGCGCGUAGGCGGUCUUUUAAGUUCCGUGUGAAAUCCCUCGGCUCAACUGGGGAACGGCACGGGAAACUGGAAGGCUUGAGUUCGGGAGAGGGAAGCGGAAUUCCGGGUGUAGCGGUGAAAUGCGUAGAUAUCCGGAGGAACACCGGUGGCGAAGGCGGCUUCCUGGACCGACACUGACGCUGAGGUGCGAAAGCGUGGGGAGCAAACAGG